rnacentral:sRNA from 1 species
UUCCUUAUAAAACAUUUAAUAAAUGCAUUUUAGAGGACAAAAUAUACAUUAUAUUUGAUU